rnacentral:rRNA from 1 species
CCUACGGGUGGCUGCAGUGGGGAAUUUUGGACAAUGGGCGCAAGCCUGAUCCAGCAAUGCCGCGUGAGUGAAGAAGGCCUUCGGGUUGUAAAGCUCUUUCAGUCGAGAAGAAAAGGUUGUGACUAAUAAUCACAACUCAUGACGGUAUCGACAGAAGAAGCACCGGCUAACUACGUGCCAGCAGCCGCGGUAAUACGUAGGGUGCGAGCGUUAAUCGGAAUUACUGGGCGUAAAGGGUGCGCAGGCGGUUUUGUAAGUCAGAUGUGAAAUCCCCGGGCUUAACCUGGGAACUGCGUUUGAAACUACAGGACUAGAGUGUGGCAGAGGGGGGUGGAAUUCCAUGUGUAGCAGUGAAAUGCGUAGAGAUAUGGAAGAACAUCGAUGGCGAAGGCAGCCCCCUGGGUUAACACUGACGCUCAUGCACGAAAGCGUGGGGAGCAAACAGGAUUAGAUACCCUAGUAGUC